CCUUGAUGUAGAUGUCUCAUAGCUCACAAAGGAGCAGGGCUAUUUAAAUAUUCAGGGAGCAAGCAGUGCCAGUGAGAGCAGAAGAGACCUUCCCCUUUAAAUGGGUGAAGGCCCAAUCUGCUCCAAAUGUAAAGAGGGAAAGGAGACAAGAAACCUGCUGUGGAAUAGGGUACGUGGCAAAACUCAAAGAGAGAUCUGAGAAGGACAGAAAGCAGGCAAAUCUCAAAAAUGUCUACUACUAAAAAAUCUGGGAAAAUUAUUAGUAAUAAAAUGAAAAAUGGAGCAGUAAUGCAAAAUCCCAUUGCUCUGCCCCGUUAUUGUGGCCCAAUUUCUGAUUAGAAGGAUUGGCAGUUCAUAUCAAUCAAACCUUUAAUUUUUUCUUCCCUUAUUUUUCCCGUUCUCCUCCUACGAUUAAGUUACAAGGAAUUUAUUUUAUUACUUAGGCACAAGUACAGUUUGAAAAAAAAAAAAAUAACAAUAAGGUAAUUUUUGUCUUUUUUCUCAUCAUGAAAUUAUUAUUCCUGGGGUUUUCUGUACCUACAGUGGGAAUAGGAGCCAAGACUCUCCUGUCAGAGCUUGCUACUAAUCCAUCAUGGUGUUGGAGAGUGAGAGGAUAGGCAGUGGUGAACAUGUUCCAGAUUGAAUAUAAGGAGAUAUAAAUUGAAUUCAUGGUUGCAUUUAUAAGGACAUAUCUGAUAAGGGCUUUGGGCCUUUGGGAGAGAGUGAGCGUUUCUCUUCAUAACACUGUAACCUUAAUCUACAGAGGAUCUUCCUUACGUUUUUUCUUAAAAUUUAACUGCGGAGCCUUAAUGGAUGUCACAUUUAGANNNNNNNNNNNNNNNNNNNNNNNNNNNNNNNNUGUGCAAAGCUGUUUGUCUCCCAGUCAGAGGCAAAUGGGAACGGCUGCUGGCAUGCCAAAGCAUUGCACUGAAGGAGACAGUCUGCAGGUAUUAGCUGGAGUGGCAAGAGCAUGGUCUGCCAAGGAACUUCUUCUGGAUAUGUCAUAUAGCAGAAAUUCCAUAAAAAUGUGAGGAAAAAAU
rnacentral:lncRNA from 1 species